AGCGUGAUGGACCGGUCUGGCAGCUCGCCGGACUCAUAACCCGAAGGUCGUAGGUUCAAAUCCUACCCCCGCGA
rnacentral:tRNA from 1 species